CCCAAAGGUAGUCUUUUAUAACAAAGAGAGUCUUCUGGUAAACCUAUAGAAAUUAUCAUGCUGAGGGGUGACGUGGAUUUAAAAUAUGUCUAGGCCAGGCACAGUGGCUCAUGCCUGUAAUCCCAGCACUUUGAGAGGCCAAGGCAGGAGGAUCGCUUGAGCCCAGGAGCUCAAGGCUGCAGUGGGUCAUGAUCCCACCGUUGCCCUCCAGAGUGAGCGACAGAGCGAGACCCUAUCUAAAAAAAAUAACACAUUAAAUUAAAUUAAAAUAUGUCUAAAGAAGUUUGAACAGAGGUUCCCAACCUUUGGGAUACAGUGCCAGCAUCUCACUAGCAGAGUGACUCUUAUGGAAGGAGACAUCUGGGACCCUUGUCAGUGGGGGCUGGGGGCUGUGUAUGAUUCUGACAGAUAUUCAGGACCUCUCAUCUCAAGAAUUACCAGUUUAGAGAUAUGCCUCCCUAGCCGGGCACAGUGGCUCAUACCUGUAAUCUCAGCACUGUGGGAGGCUGAGGUGAGUAGACCACAUGAGGCCAGGAGUUCGAGACCAGCCUGGCCAACAUGGUGAAACUCCAUCUCUACUAAAAAUACAAAAAGUAGCCGAGCAUGGUGGUGCACAUCUGUAAUCCCGGCUACUCAGGAGGCUGAGUCAGGAGAAUCGCUUGAACCUGGGGGCAGAGGUUGCAGUGACCCAAGAUCGUGCCACUGCACUCCACCCUGGGCGACAGAGAAAGAGCCUGCCUCAAAGAGAAAGAAAGAAAGAAAAAGAUAUGCCUCCCUAAUGACUCCCUAGGAGGCAUGGCCUCCCCCAAACCGUCCUCCUGUGCUCUUCCAAAACAGGGUUCUGGGCCUCUAGGAUGCUCUAUCGCAUGUUUUUGCAGUAACAGCUGGAUGGACAAAUGCUGUGAAAUUAUAGGCACAGGCUGGCUCAUCCUGAGCCUGGUAUGAAGUUUCCUACUUUCCCCCUUUACUCCCUGCCAAUACCCAAUACCCAGGGCCCAGAUGUCAGAGAGCUGGUCAUGGUGCCCAAAUCUUUGAUCAUAAGAUAACUGCCUUUACCUGUGUGUUUUGGGGUGUUUUUCAUUUUUGGUGGUGUCUGACUUAAACCUGCCUUCUUGAGACUUCCAUUUCAUCCUCUGGCCUCCUUUCAGCGCUAUGCAUUCACUGUUUCUGAAGAGUUCCAAAAGGGCUGCAGCUCUGUGGGGCCCAGACCACCAGCAGCUGGUCCACGGCCUCUGGCUCUGCCAGUCUUCUGCCUUUCAAUCCCAAUUGCAUUCUCCCCAGUGUGUUUCACCCUUGUCCCACAUUGCGUCCUCCCUCCUUUCCCUCUGCCCCAUCCAAUUCAUCCUCUAGUCCCUGACUUCUCCAUGAAGGUUAAUCUCACGCUUAUCGUAUCAUGAGCUCUGACUCCUCCCAUCAACUCUGCUGUCAAGCAAAUUGUACCACCUUAGGGUGCCAAUUUCCUCUUCAUGUCUGUUGCUCAACUCCGAUCACUUGUACCCCCUGUGGUGCCCAUCCAGGCUAGACACGUGCUAAAUACUAAAGAGGUAUUCAAGUGAACAAAAUGCAGAGGCCAGCAUCCUGAGUGUCACCAUCUUUGAUCAGCUCUGUGGUUAGAGCUCCCUACGGGACUCUCCUAGGGCCUGUGCUGGGGGCUGGGGUGACUCACGGUGUAGUUGAGGGGCACUAGUGCAGCGGGAUCCCCCAACCCAGGAUCCAGGAAACCGGAGACUUAGCCUUGACCAUCACUAGCUCAGUAUGGCUUCUACAGACCAGUAUUUUCCCAACUUCUCAGCGGGAUGUCCUGCAGCGAGCCUUCCAGAAGAUCAGGCGUAUAUUUCUCAAGCCCCCACCCUCAUGCAGUCAUAUGCUUUCUAGUAGUGUUGUUCUCACAAAUACCUUCUCUCCUUUAGACGUCAGGCUCCCAGAGGGCAAGGACUAGGUCUUACUCUUCUUUGUUCCCUAAUAGAUGUUCAUGAAACAAUAACAAUGCAGCCAUCCGUCCAUCCUCAAUCUCAUUCUCCUAACACCCUGCCUUGCCCUUUCCAUAAAGUAAGGCACAAACUGAGGCCAUGAGCAUGAAGUUCCCUGAGCUGUCCACCCAUCUCAGGAAACGUUCUACUCUCUUGAGCUUUUUGGAGCAGCAACCUUUGCAGAGCACUCCUUGUACCUGAUCAUCUGGUACAGUGCUGAGGAAGGAAUGCUACAAUCCAGAUGUCCCUGUUAGAGCUUCCUAGGCUGAUGAGGACAGAAAGCCCAGAACAGCAUAUCCUGAAAUGAGGAAGUAAUUUGAAUGUCUGGGAAAUUGAACACAGGUCUGUAAGGACACAGAUGCAGCUUUCAGCAGUGGAUACUUCCAGGAAGUGUGUUAGGAAAGAGUUUCACUCUUUAUUGUGUCCUCUUUUCUUUUUCUUUUUUUUUUUAAACUGUUCGAAUUUUUAUUGCAUGCAUUGUGUGUGUUUUUUUUUGUUUGUUUGUUUGGUUUUGUUUUUUUUUUUGGAGACGGAGUCUCACUCUGUCACCCAGGCUGGAAUGCAGUGGCACAAUCUUGGCUCACUGCAAGCUCCAUCUCCCGGGUUCAAGCGAUUCUCCUGCCUCAACCUCCUGAGUAGCUGGGAUUACAGGUGUGUGCCAUCACACCUGGCUAAUUUUUGUGUUUUUAGUAGAGACAGAGUUUCACCAUGUUGGCCACGCUGGUCUCAAACUCCUGACCUCAUGAUCCGCCCGCCUAGGCCUCCCAAAUUGCUGAGAUUACAGGCGUGAGCCACCAUGUCUGGACUGCAUUGAUUUUUAAAUUAAAAGUCAAUUAAAAAAAUAGGCUGGGUUGGGCGAGGUGUUUUAAACCCAUGUCUCAAGUGACGUCUCCCCUCUCCUCACACUCCUGCAACCAAAAGACAUUCUGACCUUUCCAUGAUCUAGAUUAGGAAA
rnacentral:lncRNA from 10 species